CACUUACGCAUUUUUCACCCUGGCUUAGACUGCACUUGAUGUAUUAUUUAUGCACCUACAAGAAGAAUAUGUGCACGUUACCUGACUUGGUCAAAUUUAUGUCCAAUGUGUGAGGCCUGAAUAAGAGGAGAAAAGUGAAGGACGUCGCUGGAUAAAGAAACGAGCGCUCAGGAAUGAAAGAAUGCUAAAAUGUUCUUUGGUUACCCGAACGACUGGUGCAGUUUACGGAGGUUGCCACUACCGUUGCUCAUAUCGACUGUGGUGAUGAGUGCAACAGGAGAACCAUGAUGGGCUUAUGUUCCUGAUCCUGCUCUGCUGUAUCCUGUUCCUUGGGACAGUCUGGAGUACUUGUAUCUGCUAAUGACACUCCCUAGAUUUUCCUUGAAUUGAGCAACAAGUGACUUUACAUCUGGUUAAUUUUUCUUGCAUCAGUGUGGCUGUUCCUGUGUACUUUGCAAAGAAUGCUACUCAAGAUGGAUGUGUCACCAUUUCAUCACAAAUAUGGACUGCCAAUAUCACAAAGAAUACUCAAAAAAGUAUCAUGAUGGGCAUGCCACAGUUAGAAGAAACUAAUAUUUCUCAGACCUUACAUCCACAAAGUUUUAGAACAUGUUUAUUAAAACCAGGUGGUUUAUUUGAUCCCAUAUAUAAUAAGUCUAUUCAUUGGAAGUGAUGUUAUUAUAACAUACAUGUUCAAUUCUCUGCUAGUAAUGUCACCAAGAUAAUUAGCUGCUCAGGGAAUAAAGCAGAUUUAGGCAAUAAAGAAUUUGCUUCAGAAAUUUGGAUUAUUCCAAAAAGUUAUAUUCAGAGGCAUUUAUGGAAUGUUGUUGCAGUAAUGCAUCUUCUUAUGCUGUCUGCUGAUACAAAGAUUAGUAACAGGAGUUACGGACAUGAUUUUAGGAAGGAUGUCUUGGUUUGCUUAACCAUCCUUAUGAAUUUGUCUAGGUAAUGCUAAAAUUGAAAAUAUGUCUGUACACUUUGAUGUUUCUUGCUUGAAUUGUUAUCUCUCCAAUUGCUUAUCAGUUGUUAAUAUAGGAAUUUCAGUUUUGAUUUUACAUCAGCCACUAUUUGCUAUGGUUCCUGUAAAUAUAUCAGCUGCAUGGUGUUGAGAUAAAGGUUUGCAGUUAUUGGAAUAAAUGGUUUUAAGUAGAACUAAAUGUAUGGCAGGCUUAAAAAUUAAAUCAUGAUUGAACUGUCAUGCUAUUUAUCAAUGGAUUUUGUAUUAUGCCCUUAAAAUAUAAUGAAAGUAAUUCCACUUGAGAAAAAGUUUAAAAACAUUUGUUGGCAGUAUGGCAUCAUACCAAUUUGUCUUUAGAUUGGGUUCAGCUACAUCAAUAGGUAGUCUUUAUGCAAAAACCUAAACCAUUGAAUUUUGACACAGCAAAAACUGCUAAAGACCUUUUAAGUCCAUUGUUUUCACCCUUGCCUUCAUGGAUAUCAUUCAUCCAUAGUCUUUAUUGUUGUACGUGUGUUGGCUGUUUUAUUGCUUCUCAUGUGUAGUCUUCUUCCGGUGAUCAUAUAUUUGAUGCUUCUAGCCUUAUGCCGAAUUACAGCUUAAUUCUGCAUAGACUUAAGCUGAAAGAUUUCCCCAUGUGAAGGGCUGGUAGUCAAUGAUAGUUAGUUUGAAACAACAUGAUCAACCUAAGACAGGAAACUAUCGAAGUGAGAUGGUUUUCCAAAGACAGGUAAGACAUGUAUGUUAUCAAACUAACUUAAGGCAGGCAGAGUCCGUCUAAUAAAUAAAGAAGGGGGAAGUGCUGGAAGCUGUUGAAACAAAAUGUGAGUCAUAUAAGUCUUGAUUAAUGGCUUGCGUGCUAGAAAGUAUUUCUGCAUAAGAAGAUUGAUUCUUGGUCUUACUUGGUGCCUGAGCAAGUACAGAGUAAAUGGUCCAUGAACUUUAAGAUGCCUCAAAAGGAAGUGUAAUAAGAAAGUAGGUUAAUUCUAUGUAAACACUUAUGUAUUUUCCACCUUGGCUUAGACUGCACUUGAUUUAUUAGUUAUACACCUACAAAAAGCAUAUGUAAGGGUUGUUGGAUAUAAGUAGUCGUCUAAAAACUAAAAAUCAUUUCAGCAUUUGCUGAGAACCUCCCCAUCUCUGUCUCUUGUUUUUCUUUUCUCUUUUCUUGUCUUUCUUUUCUCAAUCCUCACUCCCUCUCCAAGGUGCAUGUUACCUGGCUGAGUGGGCUCAGUCAGCAAAGCACUCACACACAUAAAAUAAAAAUAAACAAAUCUUUAAAAAGAAAGAAAGAAACCACUAUGGGGUUGUUGAGAUAGCUCAAAGGUAGAGACAUAGGCUGCCAAGACUGAUAACCUGAGGUCAAUAGCUGGGAUCCACAUGGUAAAAAAAAGAACUGACUCCCAUAGGUUGUCCUCUGACUUCUGAACUUGUGCCAUGAUGUAUGCACCUAUAUAACACAGAUAUGAAAUAGAUAAGUAAAUAAAAUAAAAAAGUUUAAUUCAAAACGC